rnacentral:rRNA from 1 species
AUUGAACGCUGGCGGCAGGCCUAACACAUGCAAGUCGAGCGAGCGGCGGACGGGUGAGUAAUGUAUGGGGACUGCCCGAUAGAGGGGGAUAACUACUGGAAACGGUGGCUAAUACCGCAUACUAUCGGAUAACCCAUAUGGGAUUAGCUAGUAGGUGGGGUAAAGGCUCACCUAGGCGACGAUCUCUAGCUGGUCUGAGAGGAUGAUGAGCCCAACUGGGCCUGGGAGACGGCCAAGACUCCGAAGGAGGCAGCAGUGGGGAAUCUUGCAAAAGGGACGCAAGCCUGAUGCAACCAUGCCGCGUGUAUGAAGAAGGCCCGAGGGUUGUAAAGUACUUUCAGUCGGGAGGCGUUACUCGCAGAAGAAGCACCGGCUAACUCCGUGCCAGCAGCCGCGGUAAUAC